GACGGAGGAUGCAAGCGUUAUCCGGAAUGAUUGGGCGUAAAGCGUCCGCAGGUGGCAGUUCAAGUCUGCUGUCAAAGACCGGGGCUUAACUUCGGAAAGGCAGUGGAAACUGAACAGCUAGAGUAUGGUAGGGGCAGAGGGAAUUCCUGGUGUAGCGGUGAAAUGCGUAGAGAUUGGGAAGAACAUCGGUGGCGAAGGCGCUCUGCUGGACCAUAACUGACACUCACAGGACGAAAGCUAGGGGAGCGAAUGGG
rnacentral:rRNA from 1 species